rnacentral:rRNA from 1 species
GAUGAACGCUGACAGAAUGCUUAACACAUGCAAGUCAACUUGAAUUUGGGUUUUUACCUUAGGUUUGGGUGGCGGACGGGUGAGUAACGCGUAAAGAACUUGCCUCACAGCUAGGGACAACAUUUGGAAACGAAUGCUAAUACCUAAUAUUAUGAUAAUAGGGCAUCCUAUAAUUAUGAAAGCUAUAAGCGCUGUGAGAGAGCUUUGCGUCCCAUUAGCUAGUUGGAGAGGUAACGGCUCACCAAGGCGAUGAUGGGUAGCCGGCCUGAGAGGGUGAUCGGCCACAAGGGGACUGAGACACGGCCCUUACUCCUACGGGAGGCAGCAGUGGGGAAGAUUGGACAAUGGACCGAGAGUCUGAUCCAGCAAUUCUGUGUGCACGAUGAAGUUUUUCGGAAUGUAAAGUGCUUUCAGUUGGGAAGAAACAAAUGACGGUACCAACAGAAGAAGUGACGGCUAAAUACGUG